rfam:Danio rerio chromosome 4, GRCz11 reference primary assembly.
GUAUUCGUGGCCGAGUGGUUAAGGCGGUGGACUAGAAAUCCAUUGGGGUCUGCCUGCGCAGGUUUGAAUCCUGCCGACUACA